rnacentral:rRNA from 1 species
GGCUCAGGAUGAACGCUGGCGGCGUGCUUAACACAUGCAAGUCGAGCGAUGAAGUUUCCUUCGGGAAACGGAUUAGCGGCGGACGGGUGAGUAACACGUGGGUAACCUGCCUCAUAGAGUGGAAUAGCCUUCCGAAAGGAAGAUUAAUACCGCAUAACGUUGAAAGAUGGCAUCAUCAUUCAACCAAAGGAGCAAUCCGCUAUGAGAUGGACCCGCGGCGCAUUAGCUAGUUGGUGGGGUAACGGCCUACCAAGGCGACGAUGCGUAGCCGACCUGAGAGGGUGAUCGGCCACAUUGGGACUGAGACACGGCCCAGACUCCUACGGGAGGCAGCAGUGGGGAAUAUUGCACAAUGGGGGAAACCCUGAUGCAGCAACGCCGCGUGAGUGAUGAAGGUUUUCGGAUCGUAAAGCUCUGUCUUUGGGGAAGAUAAUGACGGUACCCAAGGAGGAAGCCACGGCUAACUACGUGCCAGCAGCC